CCCCUCUCAGGAUCGCACCUGGAGAGUUUCCAGUACUCUACCGGUCUCGACUACGGGAGGGAGAGCCAAGCAGAGGCCUGUCCAUUCCAUUCCUAGCUUGGCCAGUGGCUAGCGAGUGGUAGGCGAUCCGCUACACGU
rnacentral:snoRNA from 1 species